rnacentral:lncRNA from 1 species
GAUCUCUAUCAUAAUAUCAUUGAAACUCUUUUCAAUGGAUUGGAACCAUUUCAACUGAGCCCAUCAAGGAUCAUCAAUCAUCAAGAUGAUGCUCGUGGGUCUCACAAUCUACCAGUGACACCUAGCAGUAUAUAGUGGCAACCCAGCAAAAUAAAAGGUGAUGAACCUCUAGGUGCAGUUAACGCAUGAUGCAGUCCCUUUAUCGUGAGUCCUGACU